UAAAUUGAUGGGAAAAUAUUACAUAAGUUGGUAUAUGAGUUUUGGGGAUAUUGGAAAGAAUCUUUUACCCAUUCGCUGCCUAUCGAAGAGGAUGGAACUCGGCUAGGAGCCAUUCUGUUGAACGGUACCUGCUUGAAGUAACCAUAUCACAAGCUGGCGCGUGAUCGGCAGCAAAUGGGUUAAUCUACGGUUUUUUAAAACUUUUGAUUUUUUUUAUUGUUUACUGUGUUAAAAGAUUGUUUUGUUAUCUUUAGUACAGUAAGCCAAAUUUUGUUUUUAAGACUUGCAAAAAAACUGUGAUUCAUUUUCAUUCACAUUUUUUUUGUAAGUAUUUUUUACAGAACCUGUAUGAAAACUUGACCAAAAGCAGUAGUACUUAUAUAAAACCUGACACCUUCGGAUAUUAUAGACUUGCUUAUAAUAUCUCUUUGUGUCAUUAUUCAGUAUACUUCUAGGAAGAUGUGUUUUGAAUAAUUGGUUAUUGUAUGGUUAUUAUAAUAAUUGUUUUAUAUUCUGUAAUAUUUUUGGUUGGAAGCUGUGAUCAGUUUUUCAAUCAUUUAUCACAAUAAUGGUCCUCCUUUAUACAGUUGAACACGCUUAUUGGAAUAGCCUUCGUGCCAAGCAAAAGUAUUUUUUUAACCAGGAUAUUCUAAUAAAACCGAUCACUGGUGGCUAUAGUAUAUUCACUUUACAGAAAUGUAGUUUGUUAAUACAUACAUGCACAGAACACCUGAUGUUCAUAAUGUUUAUGAUAUAAACAUCAGGUUUCAGUUGUUCUGUGCAUGUAUGUGUUGACAAAUACAUUUCUAAAGUGAAUAUACUAUUCGCCGUGAGCAAGAACUUGGAGGGGAUACGAGAAACGAUCGUGCACGAAUAGCGGAGAAAUAAUUCAUUGUUAAUUGAAAUUGUCAAAUUGACCUUUAUUUCAUAUCUACUGUCAAUGAAGAAGAAAAAUUAUAUGUUGCUCCACAAUAUUGAUAUGAUAUGCAAUUAUUAUAUAAAAGCAUUGUUUAUACAUAUAGGGAUAGUUGGUCAGCCCAAUAGGAAAAUUUGUUUGAUUCAAAUUGAGACAGUCACGAGAUGUGACUGUAUCAAUUUCGCAACGUCAAGAUGCAUAGACGCCAAGUUGGCUACGAUCCUAUUCAUAACACCCCAACUCGCAUACAUAUUAAGAAAAAUAAAUAGGUAUAUAUGCAAGAAUAUAUUUAGAAAUUGAAUUAAUGUCAUGCUAUUAUAUAUAAAUAUAAUGUAUAGUAGCAUGACAUCAUUAAUUCAAUUUCUAAAUAUACUCUUCUAUAUAUUUAUUUUUCUUGAUAUGUAUGCGAGUUGGGGUGUUAUGAAUAGGAUCGUAUCCAACUUGGUGUCUAUGCAUUUUGACGUUGCAACCCUGACAGAAAUUGUGGGGACAUCUGGUGACUGUCUCAAUUUGAAUCAAACAUAUUUACCUAUUGGGCUAACCAACUAUUUCCCUAUAUAAACAAUGAUAAAAGUAAAUUUAAUUAAUCAUUGUAUUUUGCUUGUAGUAGUGCAUUUUAAUAAUUAAUUUUAUUUACUACAUACAAUUUUUUACCUUUUAAUAACAUAAUUCACCUUAAUAUUACUUUUUCUUAUAAUUUUUUUAAAAUGGGCUAUGGCCUUGACAGUUGUCCAGCAACCAGGACUAAUAUAAUUGACCAAUAUAAUUAAAAGUGCUAAACAUGUUGCUGAGCUAUGAAACCAUGUGUCGCUUUUCCGAACUUGCACAGUCCCAAUAUUAGAAAUGUUUCGGAACCUCGAAUUUCUAUUUCUUACUGGGAUAUUCCUAUAACCAGUAUUCUAAUAAGUGCGUUUGACUGUAAUACUAGACAACAAAGAUGUAUAGCAGUGUAGUCUGCAUUUUGAAGUUUGAUAUUUCUUUGGUAUACAAGAUAGGUGAAGGGCCAGUCUGUGGGCCAGGCUAUGCUUUAACUACAUUAUUUCCCCUGGUGUCAUCCAAGGUAUUCAUGUGUUGGUCCUAGUAUAAGGGACCUUGUGGAGUACAUUCGACGGUUGAAAAAUUAACCUAAUAAUUUUUUUCGUUAAUUUGUAGAUUCAUUUAUAAAUUAAUGACAAAAAUUAUUAGGUUAAUUCCUUAUAAAAUUCGUGGGUUACAACCUUUUACCUUUCAACCAUCGAUAUUGUUUUCAGUGGUGAGAACAAUAGAAAAACACCAUGUCAAUCAUGUCACUUAACACAUUCAGUGUCCAUCUUGAACAAACGCCUCAUUGCUGGUACCAUAAUAAUAUACUUAAAUAGUUCAUUUAGUAACGCAAUACUACCGCCGACACAUUGUCGGCGUGUGCACUGAACGAGUUAACACACAUGUCAAUAUGAUAAGUAUCUAAAGCUAUUUUCUUGUGUCAUUUUAAUAUUAUUUACUAUCUCUAAUUGGAAUUAACCACAGUUUAAGUUGAACAUACUUUUAUUUUGAUUUUUUCCUUGGAAAUUGUUCUUAAAAUACUAUUCUUAAUAUCUAUUUUUUAUGUGUAUUGGUGUUAAAUAUACUGUUUUCCAUUCA